GAAUUGAAAGUUGAAUGUAUUGUUUUGUUUCCUAAUUGUGGGGUACUGGUUAAAUCUGCGAGAUAUGAUGUGCACACUCAUAAUACUUCUCCCACAAGAGUAUAUAGUUCUAGUGGGAUAUCAUCAAGUGUAAAUGACCAUUCAUUUCUAAAAUCUUCAAAUAGGCUAGCUACACAAACAGAUGAUUCUUUGGAUUUUAUGGCAAAUGGGAAUAUGGGUGGGCCUCAG
rnacentral:misc_RNA from 1 species